GAAUUCGAUUCCCAACUUGAUAUCUGAACUCCACUCUUGGAUGGGAAGUUUGAAAGCAUUUGAGCAGCUUAUAUUUCCUAUGAAUGUACUUGAACAACUUGAAUUUAAAUUUCGGUUUGUAAUGAAUUCUACGUUAAGCACUGUA